AUUGAACGCUGGCGGUAUGCUUUACACAUGCAAGUCGAACGGUAACAGGUUAAGCUGACGAGUGGCGAACGGGUGAGUAAUACAUCGGAACAUGCCCAGUCGUGGGGGAUAACUAUCCGAAAGGAUAGCUAAUACCGCAUACGAUCCAAGGAUGAAAGCGGGGGACCGAAAGGCCUCGCGCGAUUGGAGUGGCCGAUGUCAGAUUAGGUAGUUGGUGGGGUAAAGGCUCACCAAGCCAACGAUCUGUAGCUGGUCUGAGAGGACGACCAGCCACACGGGAACUGAGACACGGUCCAGACUCCUACGGGAGGCAGCAGUGGGGAAUUUUGGACAAUGGGCGCAAGCCUGAUCCAGCAAUACCGCGUGCAGGAAGAAGGCCUUCGGGUUGUAAACUGCUUUUGUACGGAGCGAAAAGGUCUUUCCUAAUACGGGAGGCUGAUGACGGUACCGUAAGAGUAAGCACCGGCUAACUACGUGCCAGCCGCCGCCGUAA
rnacentral:rRNA from 1 species